GACGAACGCUGGCGGCGUGCCUAAUACAUGCAAGUUGAGCGCUGAAGGUUGGUACUUGUACCAACUGGAUGAGCAGCGAACGGGUGAGUAACGCGUGGGUAAUCUGCCUUUGAGCGGGGGACAACAUUUGGAAACGAAUGCUAAUACCGCAUAAAAACUUUAAACACAAGUUUUAAGUUUGAAAGAUGCAAUUGCAUCACUCAAAGAUGAUCCCGCGUUGUAUUAGCUAGUUGGUGAGGGAAAGGCUCACCAAGGCGAUGAUACAUAGCCGAGCUGGGAGGGGGGUCGGCCACCUUGGGAAUGAGACAAGGCCCAAACUCCUACGGGAGGCAGCAGUAGGGAAUCUUCGGCAAUGGAAGAAAGUCUGACCGAGCAACGCCGCGUGAGUGAAGAAGGUUGUCGGAUCGUAAAACUCUGUUGGUAGAGAAGAACGUUGGUGAGAGUGGAAAGCUCAUCAAGUGACGGUAACUAACCAGAAAGGGACGGCUAACUACGUG
rnacentral:rRNA from 1 species